GGGUAAAAGUCGUAACAAGGUUUCCGUAGGUGAGCCUGCGGAAGGAUCAUUAUUGUAUAACCGAGGUGCGAGGGCUGUCGCUGACCCGAAAGGUCGUGCACGCCCGAGUGCCCUCACACACAUCCAUCUCACCCCUAUGUGCACCACCGCGUGGGUCCCCCUUUGGCUUGUUCGGAGGGGGGCUUACGUUUUCACACAAACUUUGUAUGCAGUGUAGAAUGUAUUUUUUGUUUUUGCGAUCACGCAAUCAAUACAACUCUCAACAACGGAUCUCUUGGCUCUC
rnacentral:misc_RNA from 1 species